UGGGAUAUAGCUCAGUUAGUAGAGUACAUGCCUUGCAUGCACAAGGGUCUGGGUUCAAUCCCUAGCACCUCAA
rnacentral:tRNA from 1 species